GAUGAACGCUGGCGGCGUACUUAACACAUGCAAGUCGAACGAAGUGGAGAACGGGUGAGUAAUACGUCGGUAACCUGCCCUCCUUUUUGGGAUAAGCCUUGGAAACGGGGUCUAAUACCGAAUAAAGGGGGAUGGGCUCGCGGCCUAUCAGCUUGUUGGUGGGGUGAUGGCCUACCAAGGCGGUGACGGGUAGCCGGCCUGAGAGGGUAACAGGUUACGUUGGGACUGAGAUCCUGCCCAAGCUCCUACGAGGGGCAGCAGUGGGGGCUAGUGCACUAUGUUGGAAAGUCUGAUUCCGCGACGAUGAGUGGGUGAUGAAGGUUUUCGUGUUGUAAACCUCUUUUGCUAUCGGACGGGUAGGUGGAGAAGAAGCACCGGCUAACUACGUGCCAGCCGCCGCGGUAAUUC
rnacentral:rRNA from 1 species